GUAGGUGAACCUGCGGAAGGAUCAUUAGUGAAUUGAAUAUGUUAGCGGACCUCUUCGGAGUCCCUAGCAUCAAAUCAUAUCCAUAACACCUGUGAACUGUAAGGCUGUCUUGAAAACGAAAGUGAUUAGAGCGCCUGCCCAUUUUAUACAAACAUUAAAGUAACAAACGUAGUCUUAUUAUAAUCUAAUAAAACUUUCAACAACGGAUCUCUUGGCUCUC
rnacentral:misc_RNA from 2 species